rnacentral:rRNA from 1 species
GAACGCUGGCGGCAGGCCUAACACAUGCAAGUCGAACGAGAAAACACCUUCGGGUGUGAGUAUAGUGGCGCACGGGUGAGUAACGCGUGGGAACCUACCUCAGGGUACGGAAUAACUCAGGGAAACUUGGGCUAAUACCGUAUACGCCCUACGGGGGAAAGAUUUAUCGCCCUGGGAUGGGCCCGCGUUAGAUUAGCUUGUUGGUGAGGUAACGGCUCACCAAGGCGACGAUCUAUAGCUGGUCUGAGAGGAUGAUCAGCCACACUGGAACUGAGACACGGUCCAGACUCCUACGGGAGGCAGCAGUGGGGAAUAUUAGGCAAUGGGGGCAACCCUGACCUAGCCAUGCCGCGUGGGUGAAGAAGGUCUUAGGAUUGUAAAGCCCUUUCAGCGGGGAAGAUGAUGACGGUACCCGCAGAAGAAGCCCCGGCUAACUCCGUGCCAGCAGCCGCGGUAAU